rnacentral:rRNA from 1 species
AAACUUUUUAGCUAGAGUAUGAUAGAGGAAAGCAGAAUUUCUAGUGUAGAGGUGAAAUUCGUAGAUAUUAGAAAGAAUACCAAUUGCGAAGGCAGCUUUCUGGAUCAUUACUGACACUGAGGAACGAAAGCAUGGGUAGCGAAGAGGAUUAGAUACCCUCGUAGUCCAUGCCGUAAACGAUGUGUGUUAGACGUUGGAAAUUUAUUUUUAGUGUCGCAGCGAAAGCAAUAAACACACCGCCUGGGGAGUACGACCGCAAGGUUAAAACUCAAAUGAAUUGACGGGGACCCGCACAAGUAGUGGAGCAUGUGGUUUAAUUCGAAGAUACGCGCAGAACCUUACCAACACUUGACAUGUUCGUCGCGACUCUAAGAGAUUAGAGUUUUCGGUUCGGCCGGACGAAACACAGGUGCUGCAUGGCUGUCGUCAGCUCGUGUCGUGAGAUGUUGGGUUAAGUCCCGCAACGAGCGCAACCCUCACUUUUAGUUGCCAUCAUUUAGUUGGGCACUCUGAAAGAACUGCCAGUGAUAAGCUGGAGGAAGGUGGGGAUGACGUCAAGUCCUCAUGGCCCUUACGUGUUGGGCUACACACGUGCUACAAUGGCAUUUACAAUAGGAAGCAAGAUGGCGACGUCAAGCAAAUCCUAAAAUGAUGCCUCAGUUCGGAUUGUACUCUGCAACUCGAGUACAUGAAGCUGGAAUUACUAGUAAUCGCGGAUCAGCGCGCCGCGGUGAAUGCGUUCCCGGGUCUUGUACACACCGCCCGUCACACCAUGGGAGUUGGUUCUACCUUAAGGCAAGGUUUAAAAACCUUGACCACGGUAUAGUCAGCGACUGGGGUGAAGUCGUAACAAGGUAGCCGUAGGGGAACCUGCGGCUG